rnacentral:rRNA from 1 species
AUGGACACUAAUUGUAAGAUAGACCUGGUUGUCAACAAUUUAAGUGAAGUAUACAAUAGGAUGAUCUUUGAUGUAAGGGGGAAACCAAUCCAGACCAUGUGUGAAGGUAUUAGGACCAAGUUGAUGGUUAAGUACAAUGAGAAAAGAAUAGGGGGGCAAAAUGCUAGGUGGGAGAUAACUCCAACAUACUUAGAGAAGUUGGAGGAGUCAAGGAAGUGGGCUAGGAACUGCAAGGCACAAAUGGUUGGUCCAGAUCUUUAUCAGGUUCAGAGUGGGGAAAAUGCUUAUGCUGUAAAUUUGGCAAAAAAAAAGACUUGUGGGUGUAGAAGAUGGGACAUGACAGCAAUCCCCUGCCACCAUGUUGUGUCUGCCAUAUAUAAAUCAAAGCAGCAUCCAGAGGAUUUUGUCUCCGCAUUUUUCAAGAAAGAAAUGUACAUGGCAACAUACAAUCCUAUUAUAUUCCCAGUUCCUGGCCCUGAUCUUUGGACCAAGACACCUACUAGAGACAUUGAGCCCCCAGUUUUCAAGAGGAAGAAGGGAAGAAAGCAGACCAAGAGAAGAAAGGGUCAGUUUGAGGUGCCCAAGGCCAAAGAUACCUCUAGAGUUGGCACAAUAUCAUGCAGCAAUUGUGGUAGAGAGGGUCAUAGGUACACCAACUGUGGAGAUGCACUUAAGACAUCACUACUGAUGAGAAAGAACAAACAUCAGGGAAAACCAAGCAGCUUCUGUUGCUGCUUGUUCUACUGCUACUAA